AACAAUAAGAUUAGUGGCGGACGGGUGAGUAACACGUUGGUAACCUACCCCUUAGUGGGGAAUAACUUCGAGAAAUCGAGGCUAAUACCGCAUAAUAUCUACGGAUUAAAGCAUUUAUGCGCUAAGGGAGGGGCCUGCGUCUGAUUAGCUAGUUGGUGAGGUAAAAGCUCACCAAGGCGACGAUCAGUAGCUGGAUCGAGAGGUUGACCAGCCACACUGGGACUGAGAUACGGCCCAGACUCCUACGGGAGGCAGCAGUGAGGAAUCUUCCACAAUGGACGAAAGUCUGAUGGAGCAAUGCCGCGUGCAGGAUGACGGCCUUCGGGUUGUAAACUGCUUUUAUAUGGGAAGAUUAUGACGGUACCAUAUGAAUAAGGACCGGCUAACUACGUG
rnacentral:rRNA from 1 species